rnacentral:lncRNA from 1 species
AACGAAGGGUUUCGUUUACCGUUGGUGGGUUUGACUUCAUGAAAAUGGGGCAAAAUGGCCCCUAUGCUUUCUAAACUCUUCGUAAAGUAUUUUUGAAUGCAAAUUCAUGCUAAACAUGAUUUAUGUGAAUUUUAGAACACUUAAAAUGCAUGCCUUAUGUAUCAUAAAAUUUGCACUCUAUAUAGUAGAGCUAUAUGUGUAGAUUGCAUGCAUUGUGAAUGGUGUUUGGUUUUGCAAGUUGAGAACAUGUCUCCAU